GUGAGUCAUCGAAUCUUUGAACGCACCUUGCGCCCUUGGCUAUUCCGAGGGGCAUGCCUGUUUGAGUAUCAUGAACACCUCAACUCUCAUGGUUCGCCGUGACGAGCGUUGGACUCUUGGGGGUAUUGCCGGCCUGCAGGUCAGCUCCUCUCAAAUAAAUCAGCUUGCCGGUGUUUGGUGGCGUCACAGGUGUGAUAACUAUCUACGCUUGUGGUUUUCCGCCAGGUAACCUCCAGCGAUGGGGGUUCACUGGAGCUCACAAAUGUCUCUCCUCGGUGAGGACAGCUCCUUGAACGUUUGAUCUCAAAUCAGGUAGGACUACCCGCUGAACUUAAGCAUAUCAAUAAGCGGAGG
rnacentral:rRNA from 1 species